rnacentral:rRNA from 1 species
GACGAACGCUGGCGGCGUGCUUAACACAUGCAAGUCGAACGGAAAGGCCCUGCUUGCAGGGUACUCGAGUGGCGAACGGGUGAGUAACACGUGGGUGAUCUGCCCUGCACUUCGGGUUAAGCCUGGGAAACUGGGUCUAAUACCGGUUAGUAGCCAGUGUGAGUGUGAUGGUUGGAAAGUUUUUUCGGUGUAGGAUGAGCGCGCGGCCUAUCAGCUUGUUGGUGGGGUAAUGGCCUACCAAGGCGGCGACGGGUAGCCGGCCUGAGAGGGUGGACGGGCACAUUGGGACUGAGAUACGGAGCAGAGGCCAACGGGAGGCAGCGGUGGGGAAUAUUGCACAAUGGGGGCAAGCCUGAUGCAGAGACGCCGCGUGGGUGAUGACGGCCUUCGGGUUGUAAACGGCAGUCGCUAGGGACGAAGCUUUUGUGACGGUACCUAGAGAAGAAGCACCGGCUAACUACGUG